GGUUUAACACAAAAGUGAGACCCCCCUUCAGAUGCUUCCGCGUGGGCCCAUCUCUAACUUAUCUUCUCCCUUUCCAAGCCCCCGCAUCUUUCCCCCAUCCGUCCAAAUCUGAAGAGAUCACCGCGUCGGCCACAUCAUUAUCUUCAUCUCCGGCGCCGCCGUCUCCGACCUCCGCCGCGCUAACCCAACUUUGUCGGCAUGUCACUGUGCUGCCCCGCCCCAGGCACCGUCCACCGGUUGUCCUCCGCCACACCGGCUGACGGCGCCAAUGGCGCCGCCUUGCCUCACCGCCCCUCCACGCACCACCACCGCUGGGCCAGCAAGCCCCCCGACCAUCCCUCUAGACCCGUAGCCGUGGAAUCCCUUCCCAGCAAUAGAUCCCAAAUCCCGAACCCGAACCCUAACGGCGCUCGAGCACCGCCAUCGUCAGCCAUCAUCACCGUCAAUCUUCUCCCAAUCAAAGGUAGGAGCGGGGAAAAGUUAUAGUUGGAGUUACUUUCUUGUUGUUUUGGAGGAGGGAGGGGAGGGGCUCUCGAUUUAGGGGCCUCUCCGUUUAGAUUUUACGAAUUAAUAAUCCUUGGUAACUAAUCCCUCAGCAGGCUGUCCCGUGCCAUGCUCUCGGCCAUCCGCCGUGUCGCUCGCUAGCCGCUGCACUGUCCAGCUGCCGGCCGCUGCCCGUCCGGCCGCCACGCCGCGCACCGUCAUGCCGGAGGCUGCUCCGCCCACCCUCACACCGGCCACCGCGCGCGCUGCCUUGCUGUCCGUCCGCUGCUCUGCCUGGCAGCCUAGCCGGACCCCAACCACCACCCGGACCUUUCCUCCGAGAUCCACCGGCCGCAACUUGCGGCUACAGACGGGAAAGACCAAGAAAAGAAGAGACAACUUCCAUGAUGCUCCAGCGACAAGAACUGGCAGACAGCUGCCUUGCAGCGGGGGCAACUCGUCAAAAACAGACUACAGAACUCUCCACUGAUCACUUGCAUGAUGCCCCAGCGACAACAAAUAUGAAAGUGGAGGGACAGUAGUUCACUAACAGGAAAUGACAGCACAAUAUAGAAUCGAUUGAAUUUUUUGCCACUACUGUACAUCUGGUGGUACUACAUACAAGCAGAAGCAGAAAAUACAAUUAUGCUAUUUACAUUUUCCUUUUGAGGAGUAUGCUAUGUAGAAAC
rnacentral:lncRNA from 1 species